AUUCCAGCUCCAAUAGCGUAUAUUAAAGUUGUUGCAGUUAAAAAGCUCGUAGUUGGAUUUCUGGUGCACUCCACUGGCCUAUUGGUUAACUCCAACUUUGCUCAUUUGGAAUACGCCAUCUUUAGGCAGGCCCGUCGUGGCAUUAGGUUGUCGUGAUGGUUACGCCUAUCGUUUACUGUGAAGAAAUUAGGGUGUUCAAAGCAGGCUUAUGCCAUGAAUACGUUAGCAUGGAAUAAUGAGAUAGGAUUUCGGUACUAUUUUGUUGGUUUGUGUACGGAAAUAAUGAUUAACAGGAACAGUGUUGUGGGUAUUCGUACUUCGUUGUCAGAGGUGAAAUUCUUGGAUUUACGAAGGACGAACGACUGCGAAAGCAUUUACCAAGGAUGUUUUCAUCA
rnacentral:rRNA from 1 species